UGUUAUAUUAAUUACCACAGGCAAUCAAAAAUGAGAUAAAAGGAAGGAAAUGAUCAAUCUAUUGAUUUUUGUUGUUAGGACCUUUUUUUUUUGGUUAUUGUUUAUGGCUUUAGACCUGCAGGUCUAAAUCUUUGCUUGAGCCCCAUUUUAGAGAGAUUUCAUUCAAUUAUUUGAAGGUGGGCUUUACGUGUAGAUUUUUUUUUUCUUUUUCAGAGCACUGAUUCACCUCUUCUAUUCCUGGACUGUGCAGACAGGGUGAUGCCUAUUAAAAUCCAGAGGCAGAGGCUGAGAAGCGCAGCCUGUAACAUCGGGGUGUGUGAUUCGGGUUGGAGAGAGAGGUUCAAGCCGGGAGCAGAUUUUCUUGGAAAUUUCUCAAGAGAGAAGUAGAACAGAGGGAAAUUAUUUGGCCACCCUUAUGUGGACUUUGGUGGAAGUUGUGGGGCAACAUCAGCCGGUCUACAUCGUGAUGGGGGUGUUUCAGCACACCAGGCUUCCCGGGAUCGAUUCCCGGCACCUUGCUAUGAACGGCACAGCUCUUGCGGUUGGGCAGCUUGACAUAGAGCUUGGAAAGCACAUACGCAUUGAAGACACUUGCUUCGGUAUUGUGCCCGAUGGCAGGGCCUCUACAGUGUUCUGAAUAAUGAACUUCUUCGUGGCUUUGUCCCGGCAUGCACCAGGUGCAGUUUGUGCAGCAAUUGGCUGCACAUGGCUAAGCUCCUCCUUUGUCAUGUUUCUCCUGUUUUUGAUCAUCUUGGAGUCAAGAUCUGAAAGAGCAGCACCGACUUCUUGGGGAACUCAUGCUAACCUUCCCAUCUUCUAUAAGUUUCUGCCUUCACAUGACAUCCAUUUCUUCUCUAGCUCAGAUGUUCUUAACCCCGAAGCACAUUAGACUCUCCAGUCCCACUGAAUCAGUCUUACAAGGGAAGGGCAGUAAUUGAAUCAUUCUGUUACUGCUGGAACUUACUUAAAUACAACAAAUGGAAAAGGAAAUACGGACUCCAGAGUUUUACUGGUAAUACAUUUAAAUCAGAACUGCUUGGAUGAAGCCCACGAGGUCACAGUUUCAAAAUGUUCUA